AAAAAUCACAGCUCAAACGAGUUGUUCCUCUCUCCUUCAACGAGCUUCUCCGUCGCACGAGCUUCUUCUUCUCCUUUCCUCACUCACAGUGCCACCGCCACCACCCUAACCACCGCAGCUACCUUCUCCUUCUUCUCCUCUCUUUUAAACGCUGAACUAGUGGAACACAGCCCCUGUCUCUCUCGUUCUUUCUCGUUCACAGAACAAAUCAAGCUCAAGCUCCUAUUCUCUUUGUCUCAGGUGAGCUCCAGCACGCUGGCGCCACCUGUAGCAGCGUCUAUCCCCACCGCCGCUGCACCUCUCUCUCCUUUUAUCCCCACUCAGUUCUGGUUCGCAUAUCUUCUCAGCGCCGCAGCCAUCAUCUCCUCCAGUCAAUGCUUCCAUGUUUUGGUUUCAAAAUUCUUUUAAUUUCUGUUAAGUUCAAUUAAUUUUGUUUUGUUAGUUUGAUUUUAGUAAUUAGUUUAGUUAGAUUUGUUUUCUGAUUAGUGGAUUUUUAGGUUUUGAUUAGAUUAGGUUUAGUUAUAUUUGUUUUUUCUAAUUUUAGUAAUUAGUUUGAUUUAAUGUUGAAACUUUUUUCCUCAUGGUUUUUCAAUUUUUGGUGUUUCCUCUUUCACUGCACUAUCUUUUUUCUUUUGCUGCUGCUUCUUGCUGCAGUGUGAUAGUGAUUCUUCUAAGAGAAUAUGAUUAUGGAUUAUGCUUUACAAGGGCUGAACUUAGUGAUCUGCUUAGAGCUCUGUUAGUUGCAAUUCUUCUAUUUCAUAUGUCUUACUAAUGAAUCACCUGUAAUUUUUCUAUUGAUGAUAAAGCCAUCAGAAGAAAGGCAAAUUUUGUUACUGAUGAUAAAGCUAACCAAGGCAAGCUUGUCUCUACUUAAAUCCUCCUGCAUAUAUACGAUAGAAUAAUAUUUGGUUUCGAUAGUAACCAAUUUUCAAAUAAGUCCAUAUAGUUAAAAAAUUUGUAAUCUGUGUGGUUUUUUUUUGUUGUGUGUGGAGGAAGGAAUUGUUACUGAAUUGACAAUACAGCAUGGAACAAAGCAGAUUUGUUUCAUGGCUGUUAUGUUCACUUCUUCUGUUGAUGAUGGAGAUUUCUGCUGCUGUUCUUUCUCUUUCUGGCAUAAACUAUGAAGUUCUAGCUUUGAUGGCGAUAAAAAAAUGAAUUGAAUGAUCCUCACAAUGUCCUGGAGAAUUAGGAUAGUAAUUCUGUUGAUCCUUGGAGUUGGAGGAUGAUUACUUGUAACCUUGAUGGCUCUGUUUCAGUAUUGGAAUGCCUACUCAGAACUUGUCUGGUACUCUAUCUCCUUGGGUUGGAAACCUUACUAACUUACAAUCUGUGUAAGUUGUCUGGAUUUUUGUUUAAGCCUAUAGCAAUUAGAAGCCUAGAAAAGCUCCAGACACUUGAUCUCUCCAAUAAUAAUUUCAGUUGCGAGAUACCGAAUUUUUUGGGAGGCCUCAAGAACCUGAAUUAUUUGCGGUUGAAUAAUAAUAGCCUUACAGGACCGUGUCCUCAGUCUUUAAGCAACAUAGAAGGUUUAACACUUGUAGACCUCUCCUACAAUAAUCUGAGAGGUUCCUUGCCAAGAAUACCAGCAAGAACAUUAAAGAUUGUCGGAAAUCCAUUAAUUUGUGGUCCGAAAUCCAACAACUGUUCUACUUUACCAGAGCCAGUUUCCUUCCCUCCAGAUGCACUAAAAGUUGUGUCAUUUAUGGCUGCAUUAGGCUUCUUGCUAUAUGGAGGAAGCAAUAUGGUGACAUUAGGUGACAACAAUAUGUUUACAUGCAGUAUAUAAAGUCCUAAAUGACCACAUGGAUAUUCUUGAUUUUAUUAUUGGGCCAAAAGAAAGAAAAUUAGCAAGCCCAAUAUGUUGAAAAAAUUCAGCCUUGGUUACAAAAAUGAUUUAAAGAAUGUGGCUGAAUUAUUAUUUCAUUAGUUGGGCCAGAUUUUGGUUAUCAAAUCCCAAAUUAAAAUUCUUUACUAGACCAACAAGGGAUUGGCCCGAAUUGAAAAGAAAGAAGAAAGGAAAUAUGCAUGCUUUGUUCGGUUACCUCUCUCCCUCUUUUGAUGGAAUUCAAAUUUUUAUGAAAUAUCUUUAAAUGCCUUGGUAAAUGAAACUCUGAAAUUGAUUUGAUGGCAUUUAAUGAAGCUUUGCACGUUGCAAGGCAAAAGCAUGGGAAGUUGAUUUUUAAUUGAUUAUAAUUGAUAACACUAAUUACUUCCAAAGUUUUUCUUCUCUUUUCUCUUUCAUCUCUCUUCUUCCUUUCAGUCACUUCACAGAGAAAACAUGAAAGUUACCACAAGCUAUCAGAAGCAAAAAGAAGAAGCUAGAAGCAAGCAUGAAGCCAUGAUGAUGAUGGCGGUAAGAAAAAGAAAAUCUAUGUAUGGAGUGGUUAAGAUCUUUACCACAAAAGGUAAGAUGUGGUGAGGUGAUUUCAAGCUCUCCAUAACCAAAAAUAGUGGAGAUCCACUUCGGUCAGAGGAAGAAGAUUCUUGGAGGGAUGGCUUGUCUCAGCUUUUGAUCAACCACCACAGGAGAUAGCUACUGUAGCUACGUUGGGGAAGAGACAGAAGUUAGAGCAGAAGAAGCUGUCAUCAUCAAGAACUCAUCAAGGGCUAGGAAUCCUUCUUGGAGUGCAAGUCAAGAUGGAAGGCCCAGAUUGAUGAAGUUUGGUGUGAAAGGAAGACACAGAGGUAAUUGCAUGUUGGUCAUAGCAUUCGGUUUCCUCUCCUCUCUCUCUCUAGCUGAACCAGUUUUUGCAUGAAGAAGAAGAAGUUGGCUCGGUUCAAGAGUUUUAACCUUGGAGGCUUCCCCUUCUAUAAAUAAUGGAGAACAGCCAGGGCUUGAAGCAAGGAGAAAGUGAGUGAAAGCAAAGAUUUCUCAUAGCUACCCAAGCUAACAGAAGUUCUUCUCCUUCAAUGUUCUUCAUUUUGUAUUUUUCUGUUUAGUUUUAUCUGUCUUGAGUCUUAUGAAAAAAGGCAAACAGUGAGGUUUGUAAGAAAAAGCCAUAGAGCGAAAAAAGGCAGAGAGUGCAAAAUUAAAAGAAAAAGAAAUAGAUAUCCUUAGAGGUCAUUUGUACAUCUGUGUUGUGUUUCAUGAUUCUAUGGGAAUCUCCUUGCAAGUUGGGUUAGCACUUAGUAGUUGAAAGCUUGGCAAUGACCAAGUCAAGUUUAGGAUUAGGGAUUAGAUUCUGGACUUGUCCCGGAUAGGAAGGGUAGUUCCUAGGGAGAAUUGGUGUAUGUAAUCAUGAUUAUAGUGAAAUUCUAUCAUUGUUGUGAUGGAGACUGUAUGUAGGCUGCAUUGCACUUAGCAGCUGAACCAGGAUACCUCUUGGUGUGAUUUUCUCUCUCCUCUAUUUCAUUUCUGUUUCUGCUGCGUAGGAGACAAAACUGAAAAAUAUCUCUUGGCUGGUUACGAGACAAAAAGAAAAUGUCUCUUAACUAAGCACGAGACAAAAACAAGAAAUAUCUCCUCAAGUGUUCUAAAAGGAUAGCAAGGGUUAUCAAGCGAAAAGAGGCUAAGAUUCAACUCCCCCUUCUCUUAGCCACUGAUAAAUCAUCAAUGAUAUUGCAACGCCAAUGAUAUUUUUCAUUCAGUUUAUUUCUAUUGGAUUCUGUUAACAGGAAAUACUCUUGGAGAAAUUGCUGGUGAGAAGGCUGGUAUAUUUAAGGAUCAAAUCCCAGCUUUUACGGUGCCUCAGCCUGACGAAGCAAUGCUUGAAGAGAAGGCUAAAUGGUUUAAGACUUGGUCUUGAAGAUCUUCCUCUCUUGUCAAACUUGAAUCUUAAUAGAUGCAAUAUUACCGACGACGGCUGUGAAAAAUUUUCACUAGUGGUCAUCAUCAAUAUCAACAUCAACAUCAUCAUCAUCAAGUAGUUGAAGAGGUUUCAGUGCAAAGGGUGAAGAAGGAGGAGGUUAAUGCAAAGAUAUCAGCAUAGUAGAACAACAAGAUUGCAAAGAUUAACAACAGAUUCAAGAGAGAAGAUGUUGUCAUUAAAGGCUAGGAGAAUGAGCAGGUUCAGAAGGCUACUUCUUGGAUGAAGGAAGUUGAGGUUUUCAGCUUUUAUCAAUAUCCAAGAAUCAAAAUAAGGUCCAUGACUCAUGACAAAUGCUCUUCCAACAUCUGUCAGCAAAAUAUUGCAGACUUUCGAAUAUACUUACCAACUGGAAAAAAAUUGGAGUUUGAACAUCAACAAUGUCAUCAACUUCAGUGCUUGACACAUAAGGAAAUGCCCUAUUCACUCCUUGCAAGAAAAUCAAGCAGAAUUUUGAAAGACUUUGAGCAAGUAAAAACAACAUAAAAAAUCAUGAUGGUUUAAUUUCUAUCUUUUUGCAUCUUUCUACUUCUUAUGAUAGGUUCUUGCUACAAACCAUGGUGAGAAAGAAGGUUCUGAAGGCAUUCCGACGCUCAAUUUUCGAGGCUACCUGACAGAUAAGUCAAAAACCGGAGGAUGGCUAGCAGCAGGGCUCAUCUUAGGAACUGAACUAGCUGAAAGAAUGUGUUAUGAGAAUAUCUAUGAACUUGGUGACAUUCUUGGUUGGAACUUUGAAUCUUUCAUUAGCUAAAUCUGCUAUAAUAUUAACCAAUUUUAUGGGAACUCUUAACCUUCUUGGCCUCCUUGGUGGCUUCUUAGCUGAUGCUGGCAUUCAAAAUUUAUAUGAUGCCAUAAGAACAAUACACUGAGUUUAUGUUUUGAAUUAUAGUUGAUGUAUCUUUGUUGAUGUAUAGUUGUUAUUGAUUAUUAUAGUUGAUGUAUCAGUACACUU